GGCCGCUUGGUAGUUUUCCAGGCCUGACAUUUCGAACAUGCGAUGCCAUAUGUAUUGCCACUCUCAGGUAAUUAUCACGUAAAAUUAAGCUAGUCUUGUACAUGAAACCAGCAAUUAGCCAGGGAUUGAAGGUCAGGGAGAGCUCGUUUAUAGAGUCGCUAACAAAAUGUUAAGUGGAAGUGUGUGUCAGAUGGGCCAGGAGGCUGGAUUAGCGGGGGUCACAGCGGUGGGACUGGAGGGCCAUGGAGACUCCCGGCUCUGUGGCGCUGGGCACAGCAGGAGGAGCUGGGGAUUUAUGGCUCACAUUUCUCUCUUCCAGCUCUCAGUCUGGGGCACGGCUUUGAAGGAAGCUGGCUAAGCCGGCUAAGUCCUCGUGCACACCAGCGCCAUCUCCCCAUUCAUCUGGAAACCGGAUCCUUCAAGACCGGGCUCAGAUGUCACCUCCUCUGGGCAGCUUCCUGGGAUUCCUUUCCCAAGUAGAAUUAAUCAUGUUUCCUAUGUCCCCAUAGCAUCUUGUAUACACAUCUUUAUUGCAGCACUACCAAAUGGCCUCAUGUUUCACCAUAGGUCCUCCCGGGGCUACCAUGUUGCACAACUUCAGGGGGCACCAUUCACAUGCAGCCAGGCAAUGCAGAGAUGGUGCCUGUACUACUUGCUCACUAGGCAGUGACCCUCUGCAGAGCAAAGACCCUGCGAUUCUGACAGUAGCUUGCAUAUAAUAGGCUCUCAUUGGCCAUAUUAGUGUCCAUUCAGAGUAGGUAUGGAAUAGAUGUGCAAUAAACAUGUAAUUAUUGAACAAGAAGAGACAGUUCAGUGGAGAAAGCUCUAGAUGUGGAGUUAAGGGACCUGAUUUCCAGUUCUGGCUCUGCCACUAGAUUGCUGUGCAGCCUUAAGUGAAUCACUCAACCUCUCUGGUCCGUAUCCUUUUAAAUCAGGUCAUAUGUGUCAAGUACUUGGGACAAAGUAGGUGCUCAUUGCAUGUUAGUUUCUCACCCCCUCUUUUUUUUAAUCUGUAAAGUGAGGAAUGUUAAGCUUCCUUGUGGUCUUGUAGAAUUAUGAGCUCUCAGGACUAGAAGAAGUUUUGAAAGUCCAUCUAAUCUAACCCCUGGCAUCUCCAGGAGGUUAUUCAGUUCUGGUUUGUACCUCUCUAAUGACGAGGAGCUCACUUCCUCACAAAGUAGGUCAUUCUACCUUCAGACAGCUCUGCCUUAAAAAGAACCCUAUUAUCUAACACUUAACACAUCAGAGCUCCCAUCACAGGCCCUGAUUUUGCAUCACGUGGCCAGUCCCACUGCCCAAGAUGAUAUUCAUAGACAAUGAUCUGCUCCGGGCUCAAGAACACAGUUCAGUCACCAUCCCUUAUGUGACUUGAUUAUCCCUUUGGUUACUUUCCUCUGAGCUUGCUCCCCUUUGUCCAAAGACCUCUUGAGAUGGGGCAUCAGAACAGGGUAGGACAUCACCUUCCUUUGCUUAGAACCUGUGCUUCUAUUAAGAACCCAGGUUGGAACCCAAGAUCAUGUUAUUGUGACCUAUAUCUCUAUCAACCCUAGCAAGCAUCUCACCCUAGGAGGUAAAAGCUGGGAAUGGUCAAAAUUCUUCUUAAAUUCUAUUUUACACUUAAGAAGUCUGCAUUUUUAAAAGCCCACUAUAAAUCAAGUGCUAGAAAAAAUGACAAGCUAUGGAAACAUUAUUUGUAACUCAUACCACAGGCAAAGGGCUAAUUUCCUUAAUAGAUAAAGAGAAUCCACAAAUCAAUAUGAAAAUGCUCCACCAUCUAAUAGAAAUAUGAGCAAAGGGUAGCAGAUAGCUGACAGAAAAGGACGCAAAAAUUGUUCUUACAUAAAUGAAAAGAUGUUGAACCCUGUUCAUCAUAAGAGCAAUGCAGGUUAAAACUACCAUUAUUUUCACCUGUCACAUUGGAAAGAGCAAAAACACUUAAACAUUUUGUUGCUAAAGGGCAAGGAAACAGACACUCUCCUACUUAGCAAGGGUAAACCAGUACCACCUCUCUGGGUGGAAAUGUGGCUUUAUUUCCCCCAAUUUAAAAAUGCACAGCCACUUUAAUUUGGUGACUCCACUUGUAGGAAUGUAUCCUGCAGAUCUACUCACACGUGCACAUCAGAAGUUAUGAUCGGCCAGGGCAGAGACUUUCGCCCAUUUUGUUCAGCCCUGUAUCUUUGGCAUCAGCCAUAGUAGAUGCUCAAUAAAUGUCUGUUGACGAAUGAAUGAA